UGGGGAAUAUUGCACAAUGGGGGAAACCCUGAUGCAGCGACGCCGCGUGAAGGAAGAAGUAUUUCGGUAUGUAAACUUCUAUCAGCAGGGAAGAAAAUGACGGUACCUGACUAAGAAGCCCCGGCUAACUACGUGCCAGCAGCCGCGGUAAUACGUAGGGGGCAAGCGUUAUCCGGAUUUACUGGGUGUAAAGGGAGCGUAGACGGCAUGGCAAGUCUGGUGUGAAAGGCAGGGGCUCAACCCCUGGACUGCAUUGGAAACUGUCAGGCUGGAGUGCAGGAGAGGUAGGUGGAAUUCCUAGUGUAGCGGUGAAAUGCGUAGAUAUUAGGAGGAACACCAGUGGCGAAGGCGACUUACUGGACUGUAACUGACGUUGAGGCUCGAAAGCGUGGGGAGCAAACAGG
rnacentral:rRNA from 1 species